rnacentral:rRNA from 1 species
UACGAAGGGGGCUAGCGUUGUUCGGAAUUACUGGGCGUAAAGCGCGCGCAGGCGGCUAUCCAAGUCAGUGGUGAAAGCCCGGAGCUCAACUCCGGAACUGCCAUUGAAACUGUUUAGCUUGAGGAUGAGAGAGGUGAGUGGAAUUCCCAGUGUAGAGGUGAAAUUCGUAGAUACUGGGAAGAACACCGGUGGCGAAGGCGGCUCACUGGCUCAUUACUGACGCUCAGGCGCGAUAGCGUGGGGAUCAAACAGG